AGAGUUUGAUCAUGGCUCAGGACGAACGCUGGCGGUAUGCUUAACACAUGCAAGUCGAACGAGACAAAAGAGAAGUGCUUGCACGGAUCUUUUAGAAAGUGGCGAACGGGUGAGUAACGCGUGGGUAACCUACCCUAUGGAAAGGAAUAGCCUCGGGAAACUGGGAGUAAUGCCUUAUAAGAUAUAUUUGUCGCAUGGCAGAUGUAUUAAACGCUCCGGUGCCAUAGGAUGGACCCGCGUCCCAUUAGCUAGUUGGUGAGAUAACAGCUCACCAAGGCGACGAUGGGUAACCGGUCUGAGAGGGCGAACGGUCACACUGGAACUGAGACACGGUCCAGACUCCUACGGGAGGCAGCAGUGGGGAAUAUUGCGCAAUGGGGGAAACCCUGACGCAGCAAUACCGCGUGAGUGAAGAAGGUUUUCGGAUCGUAAAGCUCUGUUAUUGGGGAAGAAAAAAAGACGGUACCCAAGAAGAAAGUCCCGGCUAACUACGUGCCAGCAGCCGCGGUAAUACGUAGGGGACAAGCGUUGUCCGGAUUUACUGGGCGUAAAGGGCACGCAGGCGGUUUUUUAAGUCAGGUGUGAAAGGUACCGGCUCAACCGGUGACAUGCAUUUGAAACUGAAAGACUUGAGUAUUGGAGAGGCAAGUGGAAUUCCUAGUGUAGCGGUGAAAUGCGUAGAUAUUACGAGGAACACCGGUGGCGAAAGCGGCUUGCUGGACAAAUACUGACGCUGAGUGCGAAAGCGUGGGGAGCAAACAGGAUUAGAUACCCUGGUAGUCCACGCCCGUAACGAUGAGUGCUAGUGUUGGGGAAGACUCAGUGCCGCAGCUAACGCAAUAGCACUCCCGCCUGGGGGAGUACGAC
rnacentral:rRNA from 1 species